rnacentral:rRNA from 1 species
AUGCAAGUCGAACGAGCGAGAGAGAGCUUGCUUUCUCGAGCGAGUGGCGAACGGGUGAGUAACGCGUGAGGAAUCUGCCUCAAAGAGGGGGACAACAGUUGGAAACGACUGCUAAUACAGCAUAAGCCCACGGUGCCGCAUGGCACAGAGGGAAAAGGAGUAAUCCGCUUUGAGAUGGCCUCGCGUCCGAUUAGCUAGUUGGUGAGGUAACGGCCCACCAAGGCGACGAUCGGUAGCCGGACUGAGAGGUUGAACGGCCACAUUGGGACUGAGACACGGCCCAGACUCCUACGGGAGGCAGCAGUGGGGAAUAUUGCACAAUGGGGGAAACCCUGAUGCAGCGACGCCGCGUGGAGGAAGAAGGUCUUCGGAUUGUAAACUCCUGUUGUUGGGGAAGAUAAUGACGGUACCCAACAAGGAAGUGACGGCUAACUACGUGCCAGCAGCCGCGGUAAAACGUAGGUCACGAGCGUUGUCCGGAAUUACUGGGUGUAAAGGGAGCGCAGGCGGGAAGACAAGUUGGAAGUGAAAUCUAUGGGCUCAACCCAUAAACUGCUUUCAAAACUGUUUUUCUUGAGUAGUGCAGAGGUGGGCGGAAUUCCCGGUGUAGCGGUGGAAUGCGUAGAUAUCGGGAGGAACACCAGUGGCGAAGGCGGCCUACUGGGCACCAACUGACGCUGAGGCUCGAAAGUGUGGGUAGCAAACAGGAUUAGAUACCCUGGUAGUCCACACCGUAAACGAUGAUUACUAGGUGUUGGAGGAUUGACCCCUUCAGUGCCGCAGUUAACACAAUAAGUAAUCCACCUGGGGAGUACGACCGCAAGGUUGAAACUCAAAGG